rnacentral:rRNA from 1 species
UACGAGUGCCCCGAGCGUUAUCCGGAAUCAUUGGGCGUAAAGGGUGCGUAGGUGGCGCUGUAAGUCGGGUGUGAAAUUUCGGAGCUUAACUCCGAAACUGCAUUCGAUACUGCGGUGCUUGAGGACUGGAGAGGAGACUGGAAUUCAUGGUGUAGCAGUGAAAUGCGUAGAGAUCAUGAGGAAGACCAGUGGCGAAGGCGGGUCUCUGGACAGUUCCUGACACUGAGGCACGAAGGCCAGGGGAGCAAACGGG